ensembl:lncRNA
CUCUGCAAUGUCUGCAAGCGGCCAGGUUCCUCCUAAAGCGGCUCUGGCUUCUGUUUUCCACCAGUGGGGGGCGCUCUGACAUCUAGCGUCAUGAGUACGUGUAGAGAAGAAGAAAGUUAAACGGGAGAAGCAGGCAGUGUUUGGCAGCGCUGCUGCUCCUCGCUGUGAGGCCGGUGUCUGUAAAGCUGAUGGAGGCGGAGUCGCAGUCGGAGUCGGAGCUUUAACUGGAUGUUGCGUGUUUUUAUGGCAUGGGUCGCCACAGUGGAUCAUCAGCCUCCAUCUUGCCCUAUCCACUGCCUCCUCUACUUUUACACCAACCAUCUCCAUGUCCACCUUCACUACAUCCAUAAACCUUCUCUGAGGUCUACCUCUUCUCCUUCUACCCGGCAGCUCCAUCUCCAACCUUCACUCUCCCUCUGAUCUGCUCAUUUCUAAUCUUGUCCAUCCUUGUCACUCCCAACGAAAAUCUCAGCAUCUUCAUCUCCGCCACCUCCAGCUCAGCCUCCUGUCUUUUAGACAGAGCCACAGUCUCCAAACCAUACAUCAUAGCAGGACACACUACUGUCUUGUAAACCUUCCCUUUCACUCUUGCUGCUAUCCUUCUUCUGUACAUAAAUUUUUUUAUUAUUUUAAUUGUCACUGCAUUGGACAGGUGGUGUCUUCUCGGUCCAUUCAGUAGUAACCGGGUGUGAAUAAUAAUAAUUUGAUACCCAUUAAAAAUUGCAUUUAACCCAGAGGACAAGAGCAGACCUGUGUUGUUUAAUAUUAGAUCCUUUACCAGUAACCGUUGUAGGGUGAAAGUAAUAGUCAGUUUUCAGAAAUACUUUUCUGCAGAUAUGCAGCUUUGUUUAAUCUGAUUCUCUUAACAAAUGUGAAAAGGUAAUUGUGGCAUGUGCAAAAGUUUGGACACCAUUUCAGUUGUAAAGUCUCAGAACUUAAUAAAUGAAGGGACUCCUUAGGACUGCUGUGCCAGGACCUAAGUUGUCUUAGUCAGCAAAUGACAAUUCCAGAGUGUAAUCAGUUUUCUGACUCUUAAAAUCCUGAGCUAAUGCUCAAUAUUAGGGAUGCUUCCUCUGUUUUGUUUUUUUUCUGACCCAUAGCCAACACUCAUAAACUGAUCAUCAACUGUUAACUGUCAAGAUUAAAAUGUAC